rnacentral:ncRNA from 1 species
AACAAAUUGUGGUCCAUAACCAGCGUUAUGGUUUAAGGGAAGUCCGGUGAGAAUCCGGCACAGUCUUUCUCUACUGUAUGAGGGACGAACGAAGCAUUAUGCCACGGAGAAAUUUGGAAGGCGCUUUUAGUAGGUUGAACUUAAGUCAGGAUA